AAGGAGUCUAACAUAUCUGCGAGUAUUUGGGUGUCAAACCCGAGUGCGCAAUGAAAGUGAACGUAGGAGCCACGCGCAAGCUGCAGCUUCGACCGAUCUGGAUCUUUAGUGAUGGAUUUGAGUAAGAGCAUAUAUGUUGGGACCCGAAUGAGGGUGAACUAUGCCUGAAUAGGUCGAAGCCAGAGGAAACUCUGGUGGAGGCUUGUAGCGAUUCUGACGUGCAAAUCGAUCGUCAAAUUUGGGUAUAGGGGCGAAAGACUAAUCGAACCAUCUAGUGGCUGGUUCCUGC
rnacentral:misc_RNA from 1 species